UCCCAACAAAAAAUAAAUAAAUUGGUGAUAUAUUUAUCUCUUCCUUCAAUGCAAAAAUAAACACACAUACAACCCGCAGUAAUCAUCAUGUCCUCUUCUCUCUUCCUUCCUUCAUUAUUAUUAUUCUCUCACUUUCAUCAUCACCACCACAUCUUUUACUUCCCACCAACCGCACCAAAGCCAUCAUCAAAUUCUAAUAAGGUCAUCACCAAAACAAUUACAAGAAAGAAAAAAGAGAGAGAUAAGAGUUAGAAGAUGAAGAAGAUGGCUUCAAACAAGAAGAAGAAACCCUAGCUACCAAGGGUGAUAUAUAAUAUAUCUUCUUCUUCUUAAUUCAAUUCAUAUGCUUAUCAUCAUCAUCAUCAUGCUACUUUCUUCUCUUCUCGGGGAAUUGAAGCUUUAUGGUCCGAUUGUUUGCUAGAUCAAGCAAGUUUACUAUAUGGUUGCACGAUCUCUCUAUAUAAAUGGAUUUCUUUUUAUUUUUUGGUUUUUUUUUUCAAACUUUGAAUUUAUAUGGAUUGAUUAUAUAUUUGUGUUUAUGUUUAGAUUGGUAUUUUCUAUAUGAUAACAAGAGGAUGAUUUGUUUAUGUGUGAUUGUGUUUUGAGAGCUAUAUAUAUAUUACUAUGUAUAAGAUAAUAAAUGUAAUUCUUCUUCAUAAGAAUAGUAAGGUUGGAUUGCUCCAAAAUGUUAUUUUUGUGUGUACUGUAGAGAAUGUAGACUUUAUUAAUGUUGUGACCCCGGUUCAUCAUCA